CCUACGGGAGGCAGCAGUGAGGAAUAUUGGUCAAUGGGCGCGAGCCUGAACCAGCCAAGUCGCGUGAGGGAAGACGGCCCUAUGGAUUGUAAACUUCUUUUGUCGGGGAGUAAAGUACGCUACGUGUGGUGUUCUGAGAGUACCCGAUGAAAAAGGAUCGGCUAACUCCGUGCCAGCAGCCGCGGUAAUACGGAGGAUGCGAGCGUUAUCCGGAUUUAUUGGGUUUAAAGGGUGCGCAGGCGGAAGGUUAAGUCAGCGGUAAAAUUUUGGGGCUCAACCUAUACGUGCCGUUGAAACUGGGUUUCUUGAGUGAAUGAGAGGUAUGCGGAAUGCGUGGUGUAGCGGUGAAAUGCUUAGAUAUCACGAAGAACUCCGAUUGCGAAGGCAGCAUACCGGAGCUCAACUGACGCUGAUGCACGAAAGUGUGGGUAUCGAACAGGAUUAGAUACCCGAGUAGUC
rnacentral:rRNA from 1 species